CCUAGAUCAACUAAAUCUGUCAGAAAAAAAGUACAAAAUAAAUAAAAAAUGGAAGAAAAUGUCUGGCCUGAUCAAAUAAACUGAAAAAAGAAGAGCUGGAAGUAAAAUGAUUUUUCUUCAAAGAAUGGGCUCCCUUUUUUUCUCCAAUGGGGACACAAUUGCCCUUUGAACAAAGUAAUCAUCUGGGCAUUCACCUCAGGCGUCUCUUCUAGCACAGAAUAUUAUUCCCUUAUGCUCCUCUAAAGCAUUUCCCCCUGUUCUAUUCAGUUUCUUACCUGGGAUGAGGAACACAUUCUGCAAGUGUCCGUUUCAUCUAUAAUAUCAAAGCAGGGAAACCUUUGCAACAGGAAACACCCUGCUGAGAUCGAAUAAUAAAGUUGCAAAUUAUAGGUUUGGAUGCUAGGCCCUGUCUCUCAGCCUUUGUGAAUCUCCACCUUUAUCAAGGUGGCAGCUGGGGAUCAUGUAACAAUUUAACUGGAUGUGAGAGGGCUGGAGAGAGCUGUGAAAGGCCAGAGGAGAGAAAGGUGUACCAUCAUGAGGACACAUAGAGUAGAGAAGGUAUAACACUGGGAGACAGCAUAGAGGGGAGAAGGGUGUGCCAACAGGAGGCGACAAAAAGGGGAGAAGAUGUAUCAUUAAGAGGCAACAUGGAGAGGCGAAGGUUUACAAUCAAGAGGCAACACAGAGGAAAGAAGGUGUGACAUCAAGAGCCAACAUAAAGGGGAGAGGGUGUGUCAAGAAGAGGCAAUAUAGAGGGGAAGAAGGUAUGUCAUAAAGAGGCAAUAUGGAGGGGAGAAUUUGUGCCAUCAAGAUAAAACAUGGUGGGGAGAGGAUGUGACAAUCAAGAAGAAGCACAGAGAGGAGAGGGUGUGCCAUCAAGACUCAACACAGAGGAGAAAGUGUGGACCACCAAGAGGUAACAUGGAGGGCAGAAGGGUGUGCCAUCGAGAGACAACCUGGAGUGGAGAGGGUGUAACAUCAAGAAGCAACAUUUAAAAAAAAAGAAAAGUGUACCAUCAAGAAACAACAGGGAAAGAAGUAGUGCAUACCUUAAAGAGGCAACAUAAAGGCAAAAGAGUGUGUCAACAAGAGACAACAUAGAAAAGAAAAGGGUGUACCGUCAAGAGGCAACAUGAAGGGGAGAAUGGUGUGCCAACAAGAGGGAACAUGGAGGGGAGAGAGUAGAUCGUCACGAGGUAAUUAGGAAGGGAGAAGUGUGUGCCAUUAACAGGCAACAUGGAGGUGAGGGUGAGUACCAUCCAGAGGCAACAUAGAGAAGUGUGUACCACUAGAGGCAACUUAGAGGAGAGCUGGUGUACCACGAGAGACAAGAUGAAAGGGAGAAGUUUGUACCAUCAAGAGGAAACAUGGAGAGAGGAGAGCAUACCAUCAGGAGGCAACAUGGAAAAGAGUGACUGUACCAUCACGAGGAACAUGGAUGGGAAAAGAUGCACCAUCAAGAGGCAAGAUGGAAGGGAAAAGGAUCUACCAUUGAGAGAUAACACGGAGGGGACAUUGUGUACCAUCAAGAGAUAACAUGGAGCAGAGCAGAUGUGCCAUCAUCAAGAGGCAUAAUGGAGGAGAAAAGGAUGUUCCAUCAAGAGGCAACAUAGAAGGGAGAAGGCUGUAUCAUCAAUAGGCACCAUAGAAGGCAGAAGAGGGUACCAUCAAGAGGCAACACCAAGAAUAGAAGGGUGUUUCAUCGACAGGGAGGGAAAAAGGUGUACCAUCAAGAGGCAACACGGAGGAGAUAGGGUGUAUCAUUAAGAAGAACGUGGAGAGAGGAACAUGUAACAUCAAGAUGCAACACAGAGGGAAGAAAGAUGUACCAUAAAGAGGCAACACGGAGGGGAGAAAAGUGUUGCAUUAAGAGAUAACAUGGACUGCAGAGGGUGUGCCAUCCUGUGGCAACAUAGUGAGAAGAAGGGUUUAUCAUCAACAGGCAAGACGGAGAGGAGAAGGGUAUGCCAUCAAGAGGCAACAAAGCAAAGAGAACAUGGCUUAAAUAGGCAACUGGCAAGGGAGAGGGUAUACCAACAAGAGGCAACACAGAGAAAAGUAUACCACCAAGAGACAACAGGGAGGGGAUAGUGUGUGCCGUGAAGAGGCAACAUGGAGUGGGGGAUGUUGUGGCAUCAUUAAUAGGAAACAUGGUGGAGAGAGGUUGUGUAAUCAAGAGGAAAUAUGGUGGGGAGAGAUUGCGUUAUCAAGAGGCAAUGAGGAAGGGAAAAGUGUGUACCAUUAGGAGGUGUAUUCAUCCAUUCUCACACUGCUAUAAAGACAUAUCCAAGACUGGGUAAUUUAUAAAGGAAAGGGUUUUAAUUGACUUAGUUCUGCAUGGCUGGGGAGGCCUCAGGAAACUUACAAUCAUGGUGGAGGGUGAGAGAGAAGCAAAGGCCUGUCUUACAUGGUGGCAGGCGAGAGAGAGUGGUGAGCAAAGCAGGGAGAGCCCCUUAUAAAGUGCCAUCAGAUCUCAUGAGAACUCACUCAGUAUCAUGAGAACAGCAUGGGGGAAACUGCCCCCAUGAUCCAAUCACCUCCUACCAGGCCUCUCCCUUGACAAGUGGGGAUUACAAUUCUAGAAGAGAUUUGGAUAGGGACACAAAGCCAAACCAUAUCAGGAGGCAACAUAGACGGGAAAGGGUUGCACAUCUAGAGGCAACAAAAGGGGAGAUUGUAUAACAUAAAGAGAGGCAACAUAGUAGAAGAGUGUAUCAUAAACAGGCAACAUGGAGGAAAGAAGGAUGUGCUAUUAAGAGGCCGCCUGGAGGGGAGAAGGGUGUCCAUCAGGAGCCAAUAUGAAGGAGGGGGUGUAUGAUCAAGAGUCAGCAUGGAGGCAAGAGAUUGUGCCAUUAGAGACAACAUGGAGGUGAGAAGGGCCUACCACGAGUAGGCAACAUGAAAGAGACAAAGUUGUAUCAUCAAGAGGCAACAUGGAGAGGAUAAGGUGUACCAUCAAGGAGGCAAAAAAGAGAGGAAAGCAUUUACUAUCAAGAGGCAAUAUGGAGGUUAGAGGGCGUACCAACAAGAGGCAACAUGGAGAAGAGAAGGGUGUGCCAUCAAGAGGCAACUGGGAAAUGAAGGAAUGGCGUAAUCAGGCAACAGGCAAAGAGAUUGUACCAUUAAGAGGCAACAUGGAGAAGAGAAGGUUAUACCACCAAGAGGCAACCAAGAGGGAAUAGUGUGUGCCACAAAGAGGUGACACAGAGCGGGGAAUGUUGUGGCAUCAACAGGCAACAUGAAGAGGAGAGUUGAUGUCAUUAUGAGGCAAUAUAGAGGGAAGAGGUGUGUACCCUCAAGAGGCUACAUGAAGAUGAGAGGGUUGUAUCAAGAGAGGCUACAAGAAAGAGAGAAGGGUGUUCCAAGAAGAGUUAACAUAUAGGAGUGAGGGUGUGCCAUCAAGAGGAACCAUGGAGGGGAGAAUUUAUACCACCAAAAGGCAACACAGAGGGGAGUAGGUGUACCACCAAAAGGGAACACAAAAGGAAGAGAGUAUGCCACAAGAGGCAACAUGGAGCAGAGAGGGUGUGCCACGAAGAGGCAACAUGGAAGGGAG
rnacentral:lncRNA from 1 species